GCUCUAGCUGAGAGCCCUGCAAGAACAUGGAGCCGUGGACGGCCCUCCUAAUAGGCAGAGGGGCAGGCCGCUGUUUAAGGAGGAGAGACAGAGGGGGAGGGUGACAGAGCUAAAGCAAAGGUCACUGUUAGCUGCUUUAUCUAGCCAGCUUGCUCUGAGGAGGCCGGGAGGCCAUGAUCUGGAGAAAACAAAUCCUUAGAGAAGAACGUUCUCUUCUCCUCGUUUUUCUACUCAGCCCGUGACUUCUCACCACUGCAAUUGUCUUCUCUCCUGACCUUGUUCUCCACCUUGCUGCCAGUUUACCCUGUGGAAUCACUGACUCAGUCAGUCAGCCUGUCCGUCGGUCAGUCCACACACAUAUAUACCAGGUGCUAGUGUCUGGGGGUGGACGCCAUUAAAUAAGCAGAUUAUAGUUUUCACUUAGUCUAAGGAAGAGUUUUCCAACAGUCAAUUCACGACUAAAAGGAGCUCGCCCUCCAUGAGGGAAAAGGCGUGACUGCUUGAACCAGCAACAGCCAGCUAGGAUGCUUCCGGAGGAUUCUUGCAUCAUGCGUGGCUUGGCUAAGCAUUGGAUGACUUAACCAUCUGUCUAGACUGAGCCGAAGGGGUGAGAAAAAGCGCAACGUGAAUUCUCUAGAGUGGAGACACCGUGGAGAGGAGACAGGGCCUGCGAUGAUGCUUCCUCUGAUAUGCCCAGGCCGUGGCUCGAUUCACCCCCCCAAAAAAGGCACGCGUCCUCCUCAACCAGAACGAAAGAGUGCUGUUCUAUAAAACUGCCGUUAAUCAGGGAGAAUUGACAAUGGAAAUGUCUGUCAGAAAGACCCUUCUUACGAUUGAGACCUAGCCUGUUGUAGGAGGUGAGGUAAUUUCUUCUCAAGCUUCUGGUAUCCAGGGAGAAAAAGGAACAACAAAACAAGGUCUGUUAAUAAAGGUGUGAGAGUCUCUGGGUAUUUUCUGUUAGUCGAGAGACCUCAAGGAAGGUUAAUUCUGGGCUGAAAGCAAACCUUUGUCGAGGAUUUCAUUUUAGAAGCUUCAAAAGACACCAGGGAGAGAGGGAGAACAAGAGGCAGGAAGAGGCAUGCACAGAAAGAGGGAGAGAGAUGAAGGGAGGGAGAAGCAAGAGAGCCUGGCCUUGCUGAGAUGUCACAGGAGAGAGUCACAGAUACAGGCUCCAGCAGUUUGAUCACUGGAAAAAUGUCUGUUAAGAGUGGAUGCAAUGGAAGAGAGAAAUUUCUGGAUUUAUUAUUUUUUUUAAAGGUGGGCCUUUGCCCCUGCUGCUCUGUUCACCUGGAAUGCCCUAUUCCUGUCCAGCUUUUAGCCUCUCUGUUCUAAAAGGGGCUCAGUUCAAAUGCCUCCUCCUCCAUGAAGACUUCCUGGGUAUCUCUAGUUACAUAUACAGUUGCUUCGUUUUCUGUAGGUCCCUAGCAGUUUUUUUCCAUUAUUUUUUUUUUAUAUCUAGUCAUGGCAAAAUACACAUAACAUAAAUUUUACCAUCUUAAACAUUUUUCAGCAUACAGUUCAAUACUGUUAAGUGUAGUUACAUUGGUGUGCAGCCAAUCUCCAGAACUUUUUCAUCUUGCAAAACUGGAACUCGGUACCCAUUAAGCAUCACCACCCCGUUCCACUGACCACCACCAUUCUACUUUUCAUCUCAAUGAAUCUGACUACUUUAGGUAGUCAAAUAAGUGAAAAUCAUAUGUGAAAUCAUACAGUAUUUGUCUUUUUGCGAUUAGCUUAUUUCACUUAGAAUAAUGUCCUUAAGGCUCAUUCAAGUUAGUUGCAUGUAUCCGGAUCUCCUUCAUUUUUCAGGAAUAUUAAUUUGAUUCUAUUUUUCUAAUGGCAUUUAUGACACGCGGCCUUAUUUUUAAGCAACAUUUGCACAUUAUACCUCUCUUGCAGAAUUCUAGAUCUUUGGAGGACAGGGUCUGAGUCUCCACACAGUUGAGUUCCACUGUACCUAUUAGCCCAGUGCUUGGCAGAGAAUUGGUGCUAAUUUAUUGAGAAGAUCACAGGACCCAUGCUCUUUGUCUUGAGUGGGCUCUUUAGAGCUCCCAGUCUCUCAAUAACCACAUCCCGCGAAAGACUCAACAGACGUUUAAACCUUUCCAUGUCAUCAAGCUGAGGUGAGCAGAAAGGGAUUGGCACCAACCAUUUGGGGCUGCUCUUACCCCACAGC